rnacentral:rRNA from 1 species
CAGCCGCCGCGGGAAUACAGAGGGUGCGAGCGUUAAUCGGAUUUACUGGGCGUAAAGCGUGCGUAGGCGGCUUCUUAAGUCGGAUGUGAAAUCCCUGAGCUUAACUUAGGAAUUGCAUUCGAUACUGGGAAGCUAGAGUAUGGGAGAGGAUGGUAGAAUUCCAGGUGUAGCGGUGAAAUGCGUAGAGAUCUGGAGGAAUACCGAUGGCGAAGGCAGCCAUCUGGCCUAAUACUGACGCUGAGGUACGAAAGCAUGGGGAGCAAACAGGAUUAGAUACCCCAGUAGUUCCUGUCUCUUAUAC